rnacentral:rRNA from 1 species
UAGAGUUUGAUCCUGGCUCAGGACGAACGCUGGCGGCGUGCCUAAUACAUGCAAGUCGAGCGAGACUCUUCGGAGUCUAGCGGCGGACGGGUGAGUAACACGUGGGCAACCUGCCUGUAAGACUGGGAUAACACCGGGAAACCGGUGCUAAUACCGGAUAAUCCUUUUCCUCUCAUGAGGAAAAGCUGAAAGACGGUUUCGGCUGUCACUUACAGAUGGGCCCGCGGCGCAUUAGCUAGUUGGUGAGGUAACGGCUCACCAAGGCGACGAUGCGUAGCCGACCUGAGAGGGUGAUCGGCCACACUGGGACUGAGACACGGCCCAGACUCCUACGGGAGGCAGCAGUAGGGAAUCUUCCGCAAUGGACGAAAGUCUGACGGAGCAACGCCGCGUGAGUGAU